AUUGAACGCUGGCGGCAUGCUUUACACAUGCAAGUCGAACGGCAGCACGGGCUUCGGCCUGGUGGCGAGUGGCGAACGGGUGAGUAAUACAUCGAAACGUACCCAGUAGUGGGGGAUAGCCCGGCGAAAGCCGGAUUAAUACCGCAUAUGCCCUGAGGGGGAAAGCGGGGGACCGAAAGGCCUCGCGCUAUUGGCGCGGCCGAUGGCUGAUUAGCUAGUUGGUGGGGUAAAGGCCUACCAAGGCGACGAUCAGUAGCUGGUCUGAGAGGACGACCAGCCACACUGGGACUGAGACACGGCCCAGACUCCUACGGGAGGCAGCAGUGGGGAAUUUUGGACAAUGGGCGAAAGCCUGAUCCAGCAAUGCCGCGUGUGCGAAGAAGGCCUUCGGGUUGUAAAGCACUUUUGUUUGGAAAGAAAAGGUUUGGGUUAAUACCCUGGACUGAUGACGGUACCAAUCGAAUAAGCACCGGCUAACUACGUGCCAGCCGCCGCAGUAA
rnacentral:rRNA from 1 species